rnacentral:rRNA from 1 species
UUGGAUGGUAGUGUAUUGGACUACCAUGGCAGUCACGGGUAACGGAGAAUUAGGGUUCGAUUCCGGAGAGGGAGCCUGAGAAACGGCUACCACAUCUACGGUAGGCAGCAGGCGCGUAAAUUACCCAAUCCUGAUUCAGGGAGGUAGUGACAAGAAAUAACAACUCGGGCAUUUUUAAUGCUUCGAAUUUGCAAUGGGAACAAUCUAAAUCACUUAUCGAGGAACAAUUGGAGGGCAAGUCUGGUGCCAGCAGCCGCGGUAAUUCCAGCUCCAAUAGCGUAUAUUAAAGUUGUUGCAGUUAAAAAGCUCGUAGUUGAAUUUCUGAUUAUGAAUGUACUGGGUAACCGGUCCAUUUAUAGUCAUCCACAUGAGAACCUAUCUCGGCCUUCACUGGUCGGUUGGGGGAUCAUGUACUUUACUUUGAAAAAAUCAGAGUGUUUCAGGCAGGCGUUUGCAUGAAUACACAAGCAUGGAAUAAUGGAAUAGGACUAGGGUCCAUUUUAUUGGUUAUUGGACCAUAGUAAUGAUUAAUAGGGACAGUUGGGGGCAUUAGUAUUUAAUUGUCAGAGGUGAAAUUCUUGGAUUUAUUAAAGACUAACUUAUGCGAAAGCAUUUGCCAAGGAUGUUUUCAUUAAUCAAGAACGAAAGUUAGGGGAUCAAAGACGAUCAGAUACCGUC